GACGAACGCUGGCAGCGUGCUUAACACAUGCAAGUCGAACGGAAAGGCCCUGCUUUUGUGGGGUGCUCGAGUGGCGAACGGGUGAGUAACACGUGAGUAACCUGCCCUUGACUUUGGGAUAACUUCAGGAAACUGGGGCUAAUACCGGAUAGGAGCUCCUGCUGCAUGGUGGGGGUUGGAAAGUUUCGGCGGUUGGGGAUGGACUCGCGGCUUAUCAGCUUGUUGGUGGGGUAGUGGCUUACCAAGGCUUUGACGGGUAGCCGGCCUGAGAGGGUGACCGGCCACAUUGGGACUGAGAUACGGCCCAGACUCCUACGGGAGGCAGCAGUGGGGAAUAUUGCACAAUGGGCGGAAGCCUGAUGCAGCAACGCCGCGUGCGGGAUGACGGCCUUCGGGUUGUAAACCGCUUUCGCCUGUGACGAAGCGUGAGUGACGGUAAUGGGUAAAGAAGCGCCGGCUAACUACGUG
rnacentral:rRNA from 1 species